GCACGGAGUGUUGGAAUCGGCCUCCAGCUCUGCACUUCUGCCCCGGAGGCAGUGCCGUGGAGCUCCCUCCCGCAAGGUAAGAGUGAGGAAGAGUGGGUUAAACCACCUCCCCAGCCAGGCAUGGUGGCGCACACCUGCAGUCCCAAUAUUUGGGAGGCUGAGGGUCAUCAUGAGUUCAAGGACAGCCUGGGCUGCCAGGUGAAUUCUUCUCUGCAGGAUCCGGGAAGUCUGUGUCUGUCUUCAGCUCUGCAUGGUCCUGCAGGAGGCCUAGCUUCCCUGACAGCCUGGCACCUGAGCCUGAGUCUUUCCGGCCGAUCGCUCCCACAAGUGACACCCCAGUGUGAUGCCAUCCAGGCUUGGGCUUUUAGCCUCUAAAACUGUGAGCCACAUAAAGCUCUUUUCUUUACAAAGCACCCAGCCUCCAACAGAAGCAGGCCUAAGUCUUUGGGGACACCCUAUGCUUUGAGGACAGGGAUGGGGCCACAAGCCCAUGACUGCAGGUGACCUGGAGACACCAGAACAGCAGGACGUCCCUUCCCUGGGGCCCAGAGGCUGUGCGUCCCACAGACACCCUGACUUUGGGCUCCCAAGGCCCAGGCUGUAAGGAAACACAUUUGCAUUGUUUAAGCCACUGCCGUGUUCACUGCUUACAGCAGCCACGGGAAACUGAGGCAGAGGGGUUCAGCAGCCCCUCUCCCAGUUCUCAGCCAGCUCUGAUGGUCCGGGAAGAAAGGAGACAGUGUGCAUGGUCCUGCUCUAGAGAGGUAUGGUAGUCGAGUGACAAGACCACCAGGCCACUUGGGAGUCCAGCGGUGUGGCUGGGCCUCAGGACCCCAGGGGGUGAUGCCUGACCUGGUGAGCCUCACCUCACCUCACCUCGGGUACAGGCCUCCCUCCCCGACUCAGGCUCCGCCUCUGUGAACACAGUGAAUGACAGGACCGGGCACAGGUGCCUGUGAUGAGCGGGCUCUCUGGGACAGGUGUGCACAGCAGGUGUGUGCCCAGGUGUGCGUGCAGGUCCACACAUGCACACCUGUGUGCCUAGGUGUGUGCAGGGCAUCGUGUGGCGUUGCUCUGUGAGUUCCCUGCCACCCAUCCCUCCCCCACCCACAGCCUCCUCCCAGGGCCGCGCUGCGGUGCUCACCUUGGCCGGGGAAGCUGCCAGCCCCAGUGUCCUUCAGGGGCCAUGCUCCUGGGUGUCCAGGCCUCGGCCCCUCCUCGCUGGCUCGCUCCUCCUCAGUCUCCUCCAGUAGCCCUUCUGACUGUCACUCCUGGGUGGUUGUCCCUCCCCCUGGCCCCAGGCCACCUGUUCCCCCCGUGUCCCUCUGGCCUCAGCGCGCCCCACAUCUGCGCGGGAGCCCUGUCCCACGCAGCGGCUCAGGGCGCUUUUGCUCAGCGAGUGACCGCGUGACCUCGUGCAGCGUGGGGACGCGGGAGCCGCGGCUGCUCCUCGUGGGAUGUGUGUCCAAAGGCGGUUCCUUGCGCUCAACGACAGGGACACAAGUGAGUUGGCCAAGCGCAGGCCUCGGAGGGGCGGAAGGGGGGAGGGGACUGCGCCUGCAUCCCCGCGCGUCCCGUGCGUCCCCUGUGCAGACUUCUGCAGCGCAGCGGUGACACAGCGGCCACUUCCUUCCUCCCUGACCUCGCGUGACCUCCGGGCCCUGCGCCGAAUGGGAGGAGGGGCGGAGACCCGGCCAGGGUCACGAGGUCAUGGGGGAGGGGCCGCCCCUGCCCCACCCCCACCACCCGCUAGGGCCAGGAGGUCAGAGCAGAGCGGGGGCUGUGCAGCGCUGAGCUUGUUGGUCUGCCUCUCUGACCCUGCUGUGUGUGCGUGUGUGUGAAUGUGUGUGUGCGUAUGUGUGAGUGUGAGUGCGUGUGUGAGAGUGAGUGUGUGUACAGGCACCAGUGAGCUGGUGUUUGCAGGCGGUCUGACACCGUCAGCACGGUUCCUGCCUCCCUCCCUCCCUCGGGCUUAUUUCCCUUGGUCCUUUUCUCCUGCCUGCACUGGGGACCGAGCCAUUUGCCCCCAGCACAUCCCCGAUAGGCAGGACAGCUCCGUCCCCCUCGUUUCUGUCUCCCCGCCCCACACACUGCUGGGCGCCAGGAGUUGCUCACCUGACGUUUGUCGAAUGAAUGAAUGAGCACUGAGCUUGCAAAGCACUUCCUCUCCUGGACCUCAUCACCAAGGGGGAGUCUUCAAGGUCCCCUGGUUUCAGGGCACAGUGUCUUGCCUUGCGGCGCCCUCUGCCCAGGGCUGCCCAUCUGCCUCGUCCUGCCCAGCUUGGAGCCGCCAGCACUCACCUCCCCUGCAGUGGGGUCUCGGAGGGUCCUUGCUGAGCAAGGGGUUCACACAGCACCCGGCGUGGGGGGCCAGGGCUUGCUCCUAGGUGGGGGUCAGGGCGACCUCUGGCCCCUGCCCUCCACCCCACUGUGGCCUCCUCUAGGAAGGGAAGGGCGCUUCAAGCCUGGGUCCUCCUGGGAAGACGCUGUGCCUGCUCGGAGCAGCCCUAGCCCAGCCCUGUCCUCACUGCCUGCCUCUGGGCCUCACUGGAGAGACGGGGGGCUGGGGUGGGGCCUGCAGGGGAGCCCCGAAAGCCCUGGGAGGCUGGCGUGCAGCAGGGAUUAGGAGGAUGGGAGAGAAAGCCCUGUGUGUGUGUGUGUGUGUGUGUGUGUGUGCGCGUGUGUGUGUGCGCGCGCGCGUGUGGCUGGCAGGAGAGGAGCCUUCAAAGGCAGGAGGGGAGGGAAUGAGCCGGAAACCUCAGCGCUGCUACAGCACAGAGGAGGCCCAGGGGAAGUGAGGGGCCGCAUGUGAGGCCAGAGGAGGGGAGGCCAGGGGGACAGACAAGGGGGCCGGGCACACCAAGUGUGCAGCUUGCACUGCGCGGUCCCAAGGCUCCUGCUCUAGACUGGGCACAGCCACCAGCUGGCUGCCCACCCUGGGUGCAUCCUUGCCUCUCAAAGGCCCCAGUGUUGCCGGGCGUGGGGGCACACGCCUGUCAUCCCAGCACUAGGGAGGCUGAGGCAGGAGGAUCGUUUCAAGUUUGAGGUCAGCCUGGGCUCCAUACAGCCUGUCUGAAAAACAAACAAAGGAAAAAAAGCCUCGAUUUCUUCAUCUGUGAAGAAGAGGGGGUGCAGACAGACGUCGGUGCCCGAGUCUCGUGGGGACCCUGUGACAAAGGCCAGAGCCAGGCACGGCGGUGUGCACCCGGAGUCCCAGCCGCUCCAGAGGCUGAAGCUGCGAAAUUCCUCGAGCUCAGGAGUUCAAGGCCAGCCUGGGCAACACGGUCUGGCUCUGUAGGCCAGGCUGGCCUCGAACUCACUCCGUAGCCCGCUUGGUCUCCUGCGUCAAGCUCACAGGGGAGGAUCCUCCCAGGGGUUACAGUUCUCAGCUCAGCAGGGUUCCCACUUCCCAGCAGAGCACGCACAAAGUCUGCCUGGCCACCUGCCACCCAAGGCCAGGCCAGACACUGGGAGCCCCGCAGCGUAAGAGUUGGCCUUCCAAGUGCAGAAAUCUCUUCCGGGGCCUCCACAAGGAAAGAGCCCAGAGCUGCAAAUGACAGCAAAGUGCUACCAGAGUCUGGAAGGAAAUCUCCACAAGGGCUGUCGGCCAUGUGGGAAGACAAAGAUGGACUGAGAGCUCCCAAGGACCCAGGCCUCUUUGCCUCCUGUCCCCAACACCUGGCACACUGCCUAGCAAGAGUAGGGCUUGGACAUGUGGUGAUUCACAAAGGAUAGAAGAGAAUGCGCAUAAAUGGCCUAGCACACUGCUGCCACAUAGUAAAUGCUCAACAAACACCAGUUCUUCCACAGAACAAUCACAGGCUCAAAACUGGAAUGUAAGACCUUUGCGUGUAUCUGAGCUCUUCUGCUUUGGUGAGAGGUGGGGUACAGUCAGGGACUCCCCUCCUCCUGACCAUGUUUCAAGCGCUGUUUGCUGGGGACAGAUGGGGAGAAGGCGAGUUGUGGAAUUGGGGGUGGGUGCAGGGUUAGUAGGUGCCAGCGCCCCAUGAGUCCUGACAC